UGGUUUUGUUCAUGCACAUAUAGUUGACUUCAAAUUUCUUUAGUUAACAGUUAAAAAAAAGUUUCCUGUGUAUGGCUGGGAAGUAGCCGGAGUCCAACAUUUGUCUAGGUCUUGGGUUCCAUUCUAUAACACUGCAAGAAAAGAAAAAAUCCUCGUGUGUGUGCCAUCCAGCUCAUGCUACGGCAGACAAGGCAAGGCGAUCGUGUGUCCUGGGAACUUACAUGCAUCCACAGAUCUAAGUAGCCACCGAGAUAGGCAGAGGACUAUGGUCCCCAGCCUUACACAGCCAACUGCUCCUAGUACAUUUCAGUGACUAAUUGGAGUGAUCCAGAACCUUUUCUUGUUCACCAUCAUCUUUAUUUUAAAAUUUCCUGUCUUUGCGAUUUCUCUUUUCAGGGUUAUUCUUGAAUGUUCUCUACUGAGACUGUAUCACGAAUUCCCCACUUCAGGAUUUCAGUCAGACACACAUAUCAAAGUAAACUGAGGCACAGCUCAGCACUUCAUGCUGGGCCUUCUCCCCACCUGGCCACCAGGGCCUUGGAGUGGAAAGGAUAAGGCUAUGGUCACCCACGGGUGGCCUGAGCCCCUGGGACACCUCCCUGUCACAGCCACCAGUGCUUUAGCUGGGGAAGGGUUCCUUUCCUGUCAGAUCUGUCCUGACCAGCCCACCACUUCGUUCCACUGGGAUCCCUGGGACAAGCUGCUUUCCCCACAGGCGACGGCCUGUGCUUCAUUGUGCCUAUUGUUUUGGACCUGCUUCAAAAAGGAAAAUGGCCUUUCAUAGUAUGUGCUGCAUGUGGGCAGAAAUUGGACCAGGCUCUUGGAGCUCUGUGCCCAGAUGGAAACUAUUCAUAAAGAACACCCACACUCUCCCCAAGAGGGGGUGAAGGCCUUUCGGAUGGAGUCUCUAAGUCAUGGUACCAAAAUGUGGCCCCACACUUGCCGGACGAGUGGACCAUGGGCUCCAACGUCAUCCAGAAUGUUGCGGUGAGGGAUUCUCCUGCCCAGAAGUGAAAAUGUCCCAGAAGUUUCUCGAAUUCUACCAGGGCAGCCGGCACCGUGUGGAAUUGCCACACACAGAAGCAAAACAACCAGGCUUGCCAGGCCAGCUCCCAGAAGUCAGCGGCUCAUACCAACUUGCUCCUUUUGGGUGGCAUUCCAAAGGCCCAACGAGACACAGUGAGUCAAACCAGGAGGUUAUAUAUCCUUUUGUCAGCUUAUUCUCUUUAAGCUUCCCUUUCUCACGUGUAAGAUGCAGAUAAUAGCAUCAAUGUCAGGGUCCUUGGGAGGGUUAAAUGGAGUGCUUAUUUGUAGCCCUUGGCAGGAUGACAACAUAAGUGCUCCAAGCAUCUUAAGUAUCCUUAUUAGUGCGCUUAUUAGUGUCUGUGCUUAAGAAGAAAGAACCAGCCUAUGGAACAAGUUCACCUUUCAUUAGCAUUGGUAGUGCUGCCCCAAACCUUUGGGCAGGAAAAAUCGCUGCUUCUUGUGGAGAGAUUUUCUAAUUCCAACUGGGGUCUUUGUGACUUCAAACAAAAGGAGACCUUUCCUAAAAGUAAUUUGGGGGGGGGGGCAAUUGGGGUGUAGCUCUCCGUUGCAGCCAGGUCUCAGCGUGCUAGAGGCCCUGGGUUCAACGCCCAACACCAAAAGAGGAUAAAAACCAAUUCCGGAUUUGUUGCCCUAUCUUGCAGAAGAAAAAGGAUUUUGGCAGCCACAGCUAAGUACUAUGGAGUCAACGCCUCCUUUCUUUGCGCACAUGUAUUUCUGUCUAAUAUUCCGAGGCCACUUGCUUUCGUAUUUACUGUAGUUUGUCUUUUCUUACAGCUUUACUUCCAAACUAAACAGCACUGGCUAAUCCGAAUGCAUACCUCCUAAGGUGCCAGCGCGGAGCCUGUGUCUGUGUCUGCUCUGUAUGUAAAUACUGGCGCGCCUCUGCAUUGGUAAGGCUGUAGGUGUGCAUGGUCUGUUCUCACGCGGCGAGUUCGGGUGUGUAAAUGCAUGCGGGGGUGUGAGACCUCACCAGCAGCCACCAUCACUGCCACUCACUAGUCCUGUUUUUUAAACCGGUUCUUUGGAGGUUCAGUUUUUGGUAAUUAAGACUAAGGAGUGUUUUAAAAACAGAAGUACAUUUUCCUGGAAACCAGCAGCCUUCAUUUGCAACUUUUAUUGGCAGACCUAGCGGCCAGUAAAUGCAUUCCUUGGCAUCUCCCAGAAAGUAAUUCACUCGGUGAAGCGGCUUUGCUUUUUCUGUAAUGUGUACAUCAAUUUAAAGGGGCCCCUUGGAAGGAAUGUGUCGCCGGUGGCUGAGAGCCCCGAUCCCAGGUCACUUCCGGCUCUAGGAAGAACGUCCCAAAUCUAUGCCUAGGGAGAUGCUUACCAGGAUGGGGCUAGUCCCGGGGGUCUCUGGGGAAGUGAGAGUUGCUGCCUGCGAAAACAAGAAACCAGAGCCCGUGGGGGCUUCCUUCCAGCCGCAAGGUCCUCAGUCAACCCGCUUCCCCCGAGAGGCUCCGGAAAGGAAGGGACCGUCUUCGACCAGCCUCUGGAGCCCGGACGACCACAGAGGAGACGCGGAGGUGAAGCCGCGGGCGGCAGGGGGCGCUCAGAGCACGCGUAGUGUCGGGGGCUGAGCUUGCUGCUCCCCAGUCCAGGGACUGGCCGAGAGAUACGUGCGCGCUCAGCCGGGGAGCUCGGCCGGCCCCGGGCUGCCCAGUGGCCCGGGGUUCCACACCAUCCCUCCUUUCUUGCCUUUGCCGCCCGGGCAGUGGAAAGCAUACAGAGGCUGAAAGGAGCUGCGGACCCCCGUGCCAACCAAUUCCAUCUCAGAUCGCCUGGGAGCGUCCGACCUCGAGCGAAACUCGCCGCGAUGAGCCAAAUGCUAACUUUUGUGUGUGUGUGUGUGUGUGUGUGUGUGUGUGUGUUGUUCCUUAAGAGGUGCAAACACCCAGCUUUAGUCCAGGGCCCCGCGGCUGCCUCCCAGAAAAUGAGGGUUGUGAGGCAGACCUCCUUGUGUGCUCGAGGUCCCCAAGGCGCCUGGCUCCAGGGUACAGCGAAGUACACUAUGGGGAGCGUCCCAGAACCCGGGCCAGUGGAGACUGCAAGCUGGUUGGGAGAGUCUGAGAAGGGCACCCUGGGAGGCAGAAAGAAAGACUCGCUGUGGCACUGGUGCUUGGGUGUUGGGCAGGUGACCUGGGACCAGCCCUAGGUCUGCAAGGUGCAGUCAUUUUCACUGGCCUGGGCAUCCCGAAUCGUUUGCGGGUCAGUAUCUCUGAACACAGCAUUUCACCGCAAGACUUAUGGUCCAGGUCUUGGAGCGCAAACUUUCCUCUGCGGCCCAGGGAAGGCGCUGGACUUCGCCCCACUGCCCGAAGCCAGCUCGCACCCGGCAGUCUCUGAAAACGCCAAUCUCCCGGGUCUGAGGACCUGCUGGCAUUUUACUGAUGACCAGCGAUAAGCCCAGGUUAGGAAAUGAAGGGGCCUCUUCCUUUUCGGGCCCUAAAGCUUGGCUGCCACCAUGAAUCCAUGAAUAUUUUGGGAAUCUGGAUCAUGAGGAACCAAGGCGCGGGCAUUUGCCGGCAUACACAAUCUACCCUCUCCCAUUGCCCACCGUUAUUCUUUUCUUUCUUUUCUUUUUUCUUUCUUUCUUCCUUCCUUCCUUUUUUUUUUUUAAAGAAGUGACAGUUUAGCUCUUUAUCUACCUCUUCCUAGACAAAGAAAGGUCCGAGUCUUUUGUGACCAGGCUCCAAAGUUAAAGAUUCAUUUUUCCCAUGCUUUGUGGCCCCUUUAUGGUUCAGCUCCCCUCUGAACCGAGGAACCACUCUGAAAGUGUCGCUUUCCUGCAGAGGGGUGACAAACAAACGGGUCCACCCCAGGGGUUAAAGGACAGGUGUUGGCUCUCUUUCUCUCUCUCCCUGUAAGCAAUUAGAAAGGCCAAGAAGACUAACCUUGAGGAUUUGGAAGAUGACAUUAAAUUAUCUCAUGCAAAGUUCCCGUGGAGGGCCACGUCUAAAUGGACAGCUAUCCGAUUAAUUCAUCCAUACAGAUAAGCGAUGUACGUACGCAUUUUGUGUUUGAAGUAAUCGAAAGAUAAACGCUGUUUUCGUUUCUUGUAGGAAUUAUUCAAAGAAAGGGUUGAAUUAGAGAGACCUCGUUAAGAACGAACGUUCUGCUGUCAAGCCUCCUAGGGAGGAAGUCCAUCCGCGAAGUCGCAGCCACCCAGGUGUUGCCCCCACCCCCUGCCUCCUCCCUCUGGUGAAAAGUCACAUUAAUGACAAACUCUACGUGCCGCCUGACAGUUUGAUAACGAAUAACGGGCUUUGACCCCAGGACAUCCUCCCCUCCCGCGGGCUCCGGGUAAGGAAAAAGGCCAAAUGGAGAACUAAGGAAAUUCUCUAAAUAGUUGAAAGACACCUCCAAAUGUACUUUGCCCUACUUGUCUGUCGUGGUAGCUUCGUGGGAAGUUUUCCAUACGCACUCCUGGGACAAUUGUCCAUGUCCCGUUUCAUCUUCCAGCGGGGCUGGGGAUGCAGUCUCUACUGACCCCAGCCCCCUAGGAAGCUCUGCAGAAUUGCCCCCUCUCUCAACUCCGGACUAGGCAGGGCCGCUGGGACCAGCACACAAGCGUCCUGACCCUCAGUACCCACUCCUGGGUUUCCAGGGUUAAACUCCGAAGCCAAGAGAAGGAAACUCCCAAAAAACGGGCAAAGGAAUCAUAUAGGUCGGCCUGGACUGAGUGGGGCCUGCCGAGUACCUCCCAGGGAACCCAAGCGGGACAGCUUCACACCCUGCAGGAGUGAGUUUCUGUACUCGGCCCCCAGUCCAAUCCCCACUCCCUUAACUAGAAGACGGAAAAUAGCUUUUCCAGGUUCUGGUGACCCGCCUUGGUGCUGCUGGCCCUUGGCCCCACUCCCCAUUCCUGUGGUGUCACCACGUCCCCAAUCCGGGCAUUCCAGGAGCUCUCGCCGCUUCCCGGUGUUUUUUUGUGCAGGAGGGGCCCACAGAGGCCUUGUUUUUUAACCAUUACCGUGACGUCAUGCCUCCUUCCCAAAGCUAAGAUCCCUUCGGUGGGCCCAGGGAAUUGUAACCUCUCCUGGCAGGUCAGAGAGGGGAAUGAGGGUCGGCUGCUCCCAGCCACCAUCCCGCCAAACACUCAUUAUUGCUGUCGCCUGCGGGGGCUUUCAAGCUGCCAGUACCCAAGGUGUCAAAAAAGAUGCCCAAGGGGUCCUGCGGUAUUUCUUCCAAUCAAGUCACGGGUUGUAGGGGAGGCAGCAGAGUGACUGACUACCCGUGCGACAACAGAGAAGGGGUACCCAAACUCCAACUCGAAAAUGAAAACUUUGGUUUGUACCCCACCCCUCCAGACUGCAUCUUCAAACAACAGCCAGCAACGACAAUAAUAAAACAGUGAGUGCUUGAAAUACAAUCAAACCGUUCACUGGAGGUUUGCUUCCGAGUAAGCACAUAAAAACCAAAUGCAAAUAUCUUUUCCUGGCGAUUAUCCAGAGCCAAACCAUGGAAAGUUGAUCUUUGUAAAACCGAACACCCCUACCCCAACCCCCGCCGCCCCGCAUGCCAAAUACGAAUUUCACAAUGGUAAUUUUUAUACCCAAAGCGGGGGGGGGGGGGGGGGGGGAGGUUUGGAGUGCGUUCGAUUUGUUGUUUACAGAACAAACUGUUUACACUUCUCUGUGCUGGGGAUGGGGGGAGCAACCAGGGACUGGGGGGAGUGUAGUCCAGCACAUUGUCUAUUACAGAACCCCGCCCCCUGGAAUGUGGAAACCCCACUUUCAGAAAACAAACAAGUUGCUAAAAUCUGCAUUCAUGGGCACAGCUGGUUGCAUACACACACACACACACACACACACACACACAGUAAAAACCAAAUGCCAAGGUGUCCAGGAUGAUCACUUUCUAAUUGUAUUUCAGCUACAACCGGACCCAGAACUUAAAGCCACAGCUGGAUGUCGGUGACUUUAUUUUUUAAGGCUGGGGACUUUGACCAUACUCCCUCCGUAUCCAAGUGUCUGUAGGAAUCAACUACUGACCCCUCCGCUGAGAAAUCUGGUACUCCUCCCAAUCCAACAGUGCCUUGGUCUUGCAAACUUCUGGGAACAGGGUCUCAAGUGAGCCCAAAUGUGCUGGAGGCUAGGAAACAACUGCCUCCCGUGUGUGUGUGUGUGUGUGUGUGUGUGUGUGUGUGUGUGUGUGUGUGUAUUCUAGAAACAUAGGUCUUCCUCUUCCCUUGAUACAGAUACAAAUGCCCAUUUUGAAAUUACAUAUACACGUAGGUAUAUAUGUUUAAGCAACACUGAGCUGUUCCUACUAUUAUAAAUCAUCUCGUCAUCUAUCAAGGCAGCUACAGUGGUGUGUGUGUGUGUGUGUGUGUGUGUGUGUGUGUGUGUGUGUGUGUGUAGAAGUGAGGGAAGGAGGAUUCAAGCUGGCAAGCCAAAAGGGACUCCUAUUAAGUCCUUGAGUUGAAGAUGACUAAAUAUCAGAGGAACCAAGGUGUAAAGUAAGUCACGGAUACUCUUCACAGGCUCUCAAACCCGUCAUUCCCCUGCUUCUAGUAAACAACCAGGUGUCCGCUCCGUGCCCGAGUUUUUUUCUGGAACAGUUGCUGAAAUGCGGGGUAGCUUUGCAGUCAGAGGGAGGCCUGUCCUCUCAGGUCUUCUGUUUCCCCUCUCAAGUCUCCCCAUCCCGUUUCUAGUCGCCCAGAGACUGUAGACCUUAAGUAUAAUUACAGAUAUCAAGAAUCUCCCUGGGCUUAUCUGUUCAGAAUCUUGAGCUGUCUUGUAGGUGCAAUUCUGCACUUCCCCCAACAUAGACUAUCUCUGUGAGACAGCUGCCCCGGGAUGGGUAGAGAUGGAGAGUGGCUUGGAGAAGCCUUAAGCUCUGGGACACAUUUAU